UACGUAGGUGGCAAGCGUUGUCCGGAAUUAUUGGGCGUAAAGCGCGCGCAGGCGGUCUUUUAAGUCUGAUGUGAAAGCCCACGGCUCAACCGUGGAGGGUCAUUGGAAACUGGGAGACUUGAGUGCAGAAGAGAAGAGUGGAAUUCCACGUGUAGCGGUGAAAUGCGUAGAGAUGUGGAGGAACACCAGUGGCGAAGGCGGACUCUUUGGUCUGUAACUGACGCUGAGGCGCGAAAGCGUGGGGAGCAAACAGGGAUUAAGAUAACCCUGG
rnacentral:rRNA from 1 species